rnacentral:rRNA from 1 species
GACGAACGCUGGCGGCGUGCUUAACACAUGCAAGUCGAACGGUAAGGCCCCAGCUUGCUGGGGUACACGAGUGGCGAACGGGUGAGUAACACGUGGGUGACCUGCCCCGCACUUCGGGAUAAGCCUGGGAAACUGGGUCUAAUACCGGAUAGGACCGCACCGUGAGGGUGUGGUGGAAAGUUUUUCGGUGUGGGAUGGGCCCGCGGCCUAUCAGCUUGUUGGUGUGGUAAUGGCCUACCAAGGCGGCGACGGGUAGCCGGGCUGAGAGGGUGGACGGCCACAUUGGGACUGAGAUGCGGCACAGACUCCUACGGUAGGCAGCAGUGGAGAAGAGUGCACAAUGGGCGGAAGGCUGAUGCAGCGAAGCAGUGUGGGGGAUGACGGGCUGCGGGUUGUAAACUCCUUUCACCAUCGACGAAGGUUUUCUGACGGUAGAUGGAGAAGAAGCACCGGCUAACUACGUG